AUUGUUCGGGGCGUUCGUUGCGACCUGCGUAUCGUAACUUUUGCGCAUAGACACCGGUUUUCGUGCGAGGACGUACAGCGUGCUCUUGUAUGCUGUGCGCGAUGUGUCCUUAAAUCAAGCUUCCGCAAGCGCGCGUGACAAGGGCGACCAGAGAAGAAGCCACCGGUGCUUUUCAAGCACGCGUGCGUGUCGCGACUGCAACGUGCUGUAGACGCUGCGUCUCGUGUAGAGCAUAGAGCCCGAUAAGCGAACUGCAUAACUGCACUUGAGUCGCAGUCAGCCUCGACUGUCUGGCACUAGCGUCCAGCAGAGGCCGCGAAGUGAACGCACGCACUGUCGGUAGCGUCUCAGUAGCACGAAGAUACCCCCAGGCUGCACUGGAACAGUCUUGGUUCUAGGUGCGUGGCAUAGUAGCACGGGUCUUCGUUGCGGGUUGGACACAGAGUUCCAAGUUUCAUAGCAGCCUUACAAGCAGAAGCAAGAGGGCUAAGCAGCAAGGCAUUGCGCCCAAGGCUCGGUGUGCUUUUCGGGCGCCGCACACGGAGUACAUCGACUUUAUCGACAGGAGCAUACACCGAGUCCAGCAAUCGGAUCUAUGCGAGUUUCGCGAAUGAAUAAGGACAAAGUACGUGUAUCGCGAGCACAGGUGCCUGUUGAAUCCGGCAGCGUAGAGGCGCGUGAAACAGAGCCAGACUCACAAGAUCGUACAUCGGGUAACUGAUGCAACAUCAGAUGGCGCGACUAUCGACCUGGUGGUGACACUUGCUGUGUUGCGAUGCCACCAGUACCCAGCAGGGCAUGCACUUUCCGAACCGCUACUUGCAUGCAGCGAUCGAUACCCGGAAAUGUCCUGCGCUUCAGUCGCGUCCAGCGGUUUCGUGUCGAGCGAACUUGAACGAGACUCGUUUCGCACUCUGUGCGGCCAUUGUACUGAAACGCAGCUGCAUUCCGAUGCAAAAACUCGGUGACCAGGAGAUACCGCUCUGGAUGCUCGCGUUGAUCAAAGGACUGGUAUGGAGGGGUUCAGCGACUGAGCAAGCCUGACGCGCCGCAUAGCUCUCUCUCUACCUCUUUCUACUGGUAACGAUUGUCGUGGGCAAUUCGUCAACGAUCAUAGACUUGUAUUUUUCGACGAUACCCACUCUAGACUCCAUUCGCGAGGCGCGGAGCGAGGCGUCAUGAACGCGCUUUCGUCGCUCAUCUACAAUGCUAUGACGAAUGAGCGAUCGAAGCGAAGCACUCGGCUCGUCGACGGUGUUUCCUUUCGACACAUAGACGAGUACGGCCCAAGCGAGUGAUCUGCGCACGAGCCUCGGACACCUUCAGCACAUGAUGUCUAACGGAGGCGGUGCGGACGGAAUCCCCGGUCGUUACUUGACCUGACGGGAACGCACCACACUAAUGUGCAUUCUCCAGCGGGAACAAUCACAUGCUCCGUCGAAGCUGGUAACGAUAAACGCUCAUUUAUG